rnacentral:rRNA from 1 species
GAUGAACGCUGACAGAAUGCUUAACACAUGCAAGUCGAUGGGGAAGUGGUGCUUGCACCAUGGCAACCAUGGCGGACGGGUGAGUAACGCGUAAGGGACUUACCUGCAGGACUGGGAUAACAGGGGGAAACUCCUGACAAGACCGGAUAAUGUCAUGGAGCUGCAUGGCUUUAUGAUGAAAGGAGACGCCUGCGGAGAGCCUUGCGUCCUAUUAGCUAGUUGGUGAGGUAAUGGCUCACCAAGGCGAAGAUAGGUAGCCGGCCUGAGAGGGUGGACGGCCACAAGGGGACUGAGAGACGGCCCUUACUCCUACGGGAGGCAGCAGUGGGGAAUAAUGGACAAUGGGGGCAACCCUGAUCCAGCAAUUCUGUGUGCACGAAGAAGGUUUUCGGAAUGUAAAGUGCUUUCAGCAGGGAAGAAGUAAGUGACGGUACCUGCAGAAGAAGCGACGGCUAAAUACGUG